rnacentral:tRNA from 1 species
GGAGCGGUCGUUCAGUCGGUUAGA